rnacentral:lncRNA from 1 species
AAGAGCUGAAAAUCCAGAAAAUACAAAAGCUGCAUAAGUUUUACUGUUUCAUAGACUUAAGAGAUAAAAAUCUAAGGGAAAAACAAAACGGAUGCCAAUUUUUUACUGUUCCAUUGGUUUCCUUCUUUGAUUUCUGAACUUUGAAUCUGCUCAAGAAAUCUCUGGUUCCUUUAAGUGUUUGAGGUGGUUUGAUUUUAACUUGGGUGUGAAGUUUGGUAAUCAAGGAAUGCUUUACUGGUUUCUGGUUGAUUCUGAUAUUGAGUCAUGUGAAUUUGAGGCUGAUUUCCUGCUACUGCUGCUACUAAACCUCCUGAAUCUCACUUCUUCUUUGUUUCUUCAUUUCCAGGUAGAUUUUGAUCCCUAUGGGUAUCACUUGAUGUGUAACUUGAAUCAUGAGUUGAGAUGAGAUCAAAUGUGAUGUUGCUUGUGGAUCUCACCCCUUCUUCUUUUAAGUUCUACCAUCACUAUGUAGCUCUUGAAGUUUUAAUUAAUGUAUUUGUCCAAAAUAGUUUGUAAUUGAGAAUCAAAUCAUGCUAGUUUAGUGUAAUGGUCUUCCUUAUUAUUUUUGGCUUUUGGAUUCUAUAAGUAGUGCUGGAUUUCUUGUGUAUGUUCAUCUGGUUCUGAUCUUUGAGUCUAACCUACAUUAGUGCAACUUUAAAUACCUGAUUCAGAGUGAUUGUGGUUGUCGGAUUUGGGGUUGUCGAUCAUGAU